rnacentral:rRNA from 1 species
AGGUAGUGACAAGAAAUAACAAUACAGGGCAAUUGUCUUGUAAUUGGAAUGAUGGUGACCUAAACCCUCACCAGAGUAACAAUUGGAGGGCAAGUCUGGUGCCAGCAGCCGCGGUAAUUCCAGCUCCAAUAGCGUAUAUUAAACUUGUUGCAGUUAAAAAGCUCGUAGUUGAAUUUUUGCGUGGUGUUAAUAUUGACUAAUGUCGAGAUUGCACUUCGCUUUUGGGAUUUAUCCCUUUUUACUUUGAGAAAAUUAGAGUGUUUCAAGCAGACUUUUGUCUUGAAUACUUCAGCAUGGAAUAAUAGAGUAGGACUUUGGUUCUAUUUUGUUGGUUUGUGAACCUUAGUAAUGGUUAAUAGGAACG